AGAGAUGUGUGAUGACGCAUAUCAAUAAGCGGAGGAAAAGAAACUAACAAGGAUUCCCUUAGUAACGGCGAGUGAAGCGGGAAGAGCUCAAAUUUGAAAUCUUCAAGGUUCUACCUUGACGAAUUGUAGUUUAUAGAAGUGUUUUCUGUUAGUAGAGUGGCAAAAGUUCUUUGGAAUAGGACAUCAUAGAGGGUGAGAAUCCCGUAUUUGGUCAUUCCUUCUAGCUUUGUGAUACACUUUCAACGAGUCGGAUUGUUUGGGAAUGCAGUCCAAAAUGGGUGGUAAAUUUCAUCUAAAGCUAAAUAUUGGCGAGAGACCGAUAGCGAACAAGUACCGUGAGGGAAAGAUGAAAGAACUUUGAAAAGAGAGUUAAACAGUACGUGAAAUUGUCAAAAGGGAAGCGUUUGACACCAGUGUUGUUUUUCCGAAAAUCAAUUACGAAUGUUUUAGUUUUUAAGAAGUUAUGACUUCAUCGGCUUGCUUCUCUCUUUAUGAAACUUUCUUAAUGCACUUUUCGGUUAACAAGUCAACAUCAAUUUCUUUUGUUGUAAAAGGGUAUGAGGAAGGUGGCUUUCUUUUCGGAGAAAGUGUUUAUAGCCUUGUACCUCUGCAAUCGGAGAGAUUGAGGUCUGCAGCGUAGAUCCUUCGGGGUUAGAUACAUUUGUGCUAAGUUAUAGCUUUUCAUAGACAACUUGUUGACUAUGUUAAGUCUUGUAGCUUACUCGCUUAUGCUAUUUUACCUACGCUUAGGAUGUUGAAGAUGUAGCACAUCAU
rnacentral:rRNA from 1 species